GACGAACGCUGGCGGCGUGCCUAAUACAUGCAAGUAGAACGCAGUUGCGAACGGGUGAGUACCGCGUAGGUCACUGCCUGGUAGCGGGGGAUAACUAUUGGAAACGAUAGCUAAUACCGCAUACUACCAGAUGGACCUGCGUUUUAUUAGCUAGUUUGUGAGGUAACGGCUCACCAAGGCAACGAUACAGAGCCGACCUGAGAGGGUGAUCGGCCACCUGGGGACGGAGACACGGCCCAGACGCCUACGGGAGUCAGCAGUAGGGAUGCGUCGGCAAUGGGGGGAACCCUGACCAAGCAACGCCGCGUGAGUGAAGAAGGUUUUCGGAUCGUAAAGCUCUGUUGUUAAGGAAGCGGUACUUAACCAGAAAGGGACGGCUAACUACGUGCCAGCAGCCGCGGUAAUUC
rnacentral:rRNA from 1 species